CACAGGGCAGGGUGGUGGGUAACACCCACCCGGGGCGACCCGCGGGAUAGUGCCACAGAAAACAGACCGCCGCGCAGCCGGCGCCUGCCGCUGCGCGGUAAGGGUGAAACGGCGGUGUAAGAGACCACCAGCGCCCGGGGUGACCCGGGCGGCUCGGCAAACCCCACCCGGAGCAAGGUCAAGA
rnacentral:misc_RNA from 1 species